CCAUGGCGCAGAAGGUGGUGGAACAUACUGGGUAACCCCAGGAGUUAAUCCCUUCACGCUCUUCUACCCUUGUCUAUUUGCACCCUUGUCGUUCCCUCGGCGGGUCUUGAACCUGCCGGCGGCAACUUUCAAAACCUCCUGCAGUAGUAUCUAAUUCUUCUGAUUCAAUAUCAAAUUAUUA
rnacentral:misc_RNA from 1 species